rnacentral:rRNA from 1 species
AAUCUGCCUAGUAGUGGGGGACAACGUUUCGCCAGGAACGCUAAUACCGCAUACGUCCUACGGGAGAAAGUGGGGGAUCUUCGGACCUCACGCUAUUAGAUGAGCCUAGGUCGGAUUAGCUAGUUGGUAGGGUAAAGGCCUACCAAGGCGACGAUCCGUAACUGGUCUGAGAGGAUGAUCAGUCACACUGGAACUGAGACACGGUCCAGACUCCUACGGGAGGCAGCAGUGGGGAAUAUUGGACAAUGGGCGAAAGCCUGAUCCAGCCAUGCCGCGUGUGUGAAGAAGGCCUUCGGGUCGUAAAGCACUUUAAGUUGGGAGGAAGGGCUCAUAGCGAAUACCUGUGAGUUUUGACGUUACCAACAGAAUAAGCACCGGCUAACUUCGUGCCAGCAGCCGCGGUAAUACGAAGGGUGCAAGCGUUAAUCGGAAUUACUGGGCGUAAAGCGCGCGUAGGUGGCUUGAUAAGUUGGAUGUGAAAUCCCCGGGCUCAACCUGGGAACUGCAUCCAAAACUGUCUGGCUAGAGUGCGGUA